AGACAGUACAUUUUUUAGAUUAUGAAGGAGUAAAAGAUAUCUUUUGGAGGGCUACUUGAUUCAUUGAGUCAGCAAAUUAGUAAUCUAUUUCAAAAUUUGGAUAUUUUUGAAAAACAAUAGCUUGGGCCAAUUGAGGAGGUGAAUCAGUUGAAGGCUGAGGUUGUCAACAUUGGAAGAAGAGCUGAAGAGAUUGUUAUUUCAUUGCAUGGG
rnacentral:lncRNA from 1 species